rnacentral:rRNA from 1 species
AGGACGAACGCUGGCGGCGUGCUUAACACAUGCAAGUCGAGCGGAAAGGCCCUUCGGGGUACUCGAGCGGCGAACGGGUGAGUAACACGUGAGUAAUCUGCCCCUAGCUCUGGGAUAGCUCCGGGAAAACCGGGAUUAAUACCGGAUACGACCACUUUAGACAUCUGUUGUGGUGGAAAGAAUUUUGGCUAGGGAUGAGCUCGCGGCCUAUCAGCUUGUUGGUGGGUAACGCCUACCAAGGCGACGACGGGU